rnacentral:tRNA from 1 species
GCCCGGGUGGUGGAAUUGGUAGACACGCAGGACUUAAAAUCCUGUGGCCAUCGCGGCCGUGCCGGUUCGAUCCCGGCUCCGGGUACUA